UCCAGCUACACACACAGAGGACUUGAACUCUCACUGAGUUCCCCACAUGACUGGAACGACUCCUGAGUCACAGUGCUUCAUGGGACCAGCUGUUCCAGGGACUUGGUGUCAGGGAUUCACAGGGAGAAACACAGCCGUCACACUACACGUCCGUACAAGCAAUACCUACUAGAGAAAGCACAGUGCUGAGACCUGGUGACAUAGAGGGAAGAAAGAAGUUGCAAACCACACAGGAAUGUUCAUGUGAGCAGCUCUGAUAGAACCAAGACUUCCUGUGGACGCCUGAUGUCUACUGCACAGAAGUUUACAUGAGUCUAGGGACCUUAUCAGGCUCUCUCACUGUGGCAUGUAGCACUACUUUUCUGAGGUGCAGGCUAUAAAGAAAACUGAUUUGGCCAAGAUUGUGACUUUACUGGCUACUACCUAUGAGAUGACAGCUAAGUUACCUAAACAUGUGUGUCUCCUGCAUGCCUUCCCACCAGCUCUGAGUUUUAUAGCUCCCUGCCUG
ensembl:lncRNA